AUUGAACGCUGGCGGCAGGCCUAACACAUGCAAGUCGAGCGGAUGACGGGAGCUUGCUCCUUGAUUCAGCGGCGGACGGGUGAGUAAUGCCUAGGAAUCUGCCUGGUAGUGGGGGACAACGUUUCGAAAGGAACGCUAAUACCGCAUACGUCCUACGGGAGAAAGCAGGGGACCUUCGGGCCUUGCGCUAUCAGAUGAGCCUAGGUCGGAUUAGCUAGUUGGUGGGGUAAUGGCUCACCAAGGCGACGAUCCGUAACUGGUCUGAGAGGAUGAUCAGUCACACUGGAACUGAGACACGGUCCAGACUCCUACGGGAGGCAGCAGUGGGGAAUAUUGGACAAUGGGCGAAAGCCUGAUCCAGCCAUGCCGCGUGUGUGAAGAAGGUCUUCGGAUUGUAAAGCACUUUAAGUUGGGAGGAAGGGCAGUAAGUUAAUACCUUGCUGUUUUGACGUUACCGACAGAAUAAGCACCGGCUAACUCUGUGCCAGCAGCCGCAGUAAGAC
rnacentral:rRNA from 1 species